ensembl:lncRNA
CUCGCGCCUGUCAUAACACAGACUGUUUUUUUUGCGAACUUUACGGGACUGAGGGGAACUGAAUAACGGCGGCUUUUCAAACACACCUGGCACCGACCGAGCAGGACAACAGCACAACGCAAAGAGCCCAUCGUGAGUGCACGUGAACCUGUCCGAUUAUGGAGAGCUCUUGCUGGCGGCAACUUCUCGCGCUUCACGUCCUGCUAUGGUGCCUCUCGAGCUACAACCUGCGCACAGAGGCCCUCCCAGUUCUACUAACAGACUGUGAGAUAAGUGAAUCUGAAAGAGAGAAUCCGUCUGCUCUGCAUGCCUCUCUGUGUGACCUCCUCUGGAAGAACCAGCAUAUGGAGCACAGCCAGAAUAUGUUCAAACGGUUUCUGUUCCACUACUCUAAAUCCCAGAAUGCCAUUGGCUCCAUGCAGAGGGAUUCCAACUCUGUUCACCCACUGAUGCGUCUCUCCCCAAACCUCUCUGCACGGAGGAAGAAACAACUCCUGCUCGUGAGGCCUCUAAAGAAGCUCUGCUGAAACGGAAGACAAGAGCCUCAGAGACUGCUGCUUCAUCUCCCUCAUGACCAGACCAUAACAACAAGCCCUCUCCCUCUCCCUCUAUCUCUCUCUCUCUCUCUCUCUCCCUCUCUCUCUCUCUCCCUCUCUCUCCCUCUCUCCCCCCUCUCUCCUUCUCUCUCUCCUCCUCCCCCUCUCAUCUUUCUCCUUCUCUCUGCUCUGUCAUUCUCUCCUGUAGAAGUCCCUAGGUCCUCUCAGGGCUUAGGAGUUCCACCAUCUUCAGCACAGGAGAGGAGAAGAGGAGAGAGAGAGGAGGAGAAGAGGAGAGAGAGAGGAGAGGAGAGAGAGGAGAAGAGGAGAGAGAGGAGGAGAGGAGGGUGUGUACAUACUCUCUUCAUUGACGGAGCACCAACUGCUGAACAUGGCCGCACAUUGUCCUGAUGACGUGAUCCUGCUGAACACUCCCGCCCAAGCGUCUUGUGAUCUGACCCUCCUGAACGCACCCUUAGGGGCUACACCAGACACAGCUAUCUGAUUCCCACCACAUC